AGAACUCUUAUACUUAUACAAAUUAAGUUCCUAGUUCACUAGUCCUAGAACUCUUAUGUUUAUACAGAUUAAGUAAGAAUUUAGCAGAUUGCCUAUCUAUUUCUUUUCUAGGAACACCAUGAUCAACCUUGUCAAUGCCAUAGGUCUCUCCAAGUCAGACUAUUCUGAUUACUGCUUUGACUUUUCUGUCUGUCUUUGGUGAUCCAGUGAUGUCACACUGGUCCUGCCACUCUGUGAUCCAGUUAUCUCUAUCGCAUUUAGCAAUCUCAGUUUAGUGGCAGCAAUUCCCUCUGUAAUUUUUGGCCUAUAGAGAAGAGUGACCACAGAGCUCUUCAAGUAUGCUGGUGUCAUGAUGAAAGGUGUGUCCUCUGAACCCUCCCAGGAGGGGUAGGUGAGCAGGUCUUAUAUGAUAGAUCUGUCCUGACAUUUCAAUCUCCCCAAACCUUUGGAGACCUUCUUCUCCAAUAUACCAAGGCACUUAGUUCUGGUAUUUGAUUUCAUUUAAUGUAGGCCACCUUUUAGUCCAUGUUUCCACUAACCAACCAAAAUGUCAGAGACUUUUCUAACCCCUUGAGCUAAAAUAUUGAAUGUAGAAUUUCUGUAUAGUGGGCUAAUAUCAUUAAGUUCAUCCUGAUUCAACAACUUUAUGUUCCUUCCACAAUUAUCCCAACAUGCUUAAUAUCCAUUGCCAUAUUCCCCAGAUUUAUGAAAUCAUGCAUUUCUUUUGGUGUGUAGCACACUUCCUCAUGGACACACUUUGUACCUUAACCUUUCGGGAUUGCAGGAACUUAAGUCUAGUUAUAAGUGUAGAAGCAAACAUGUACCAGGGGUAGGCCCUGAGGAGAAUCAGCAGUGUUGUACAAGGCACCUACCUCAGGGGAGGCCAUUACAAGUUCCUUGGGCACAUCAGGGUUACCCUCAGGAGUGGAAAGGCUUUUCUACUGACAAAGAAGACUCAUCAGAAUUUUGGAAUUUGAUGUCUCAAGCUUCAGUGGGGUUUCCAAUAUGUCUCCAUUCCAAUUUUCAAGAUCCCAUUCCUUCCCAGUCAACACCCCCACUUUAAUGGAAUAAAUUCUAUGAGAUUGGGAAUUCAUUUUGUGUUGUAAUUCAGCAACUCACAGGUUGAAAGUCUGUGUCUAACGUCUUAACUCCAUGGCUAUAGUAGAUAAGGGUGUGUUUGGGGGCAGACAUAGGAGUUUCCAGGUCAUUUAUGCAUUGCUUGAACAGGGAAUUUCUAGCCCUUAAGUUAUCUUUUUCUUUCUCUUUCCAGAGCUCAGUUAGCAGCUAGCAGCCAACCGCAUCAUAUUCUUCAGUUUGAGCAAAAUGUUCUAAGAUAUCAAAUACAUGGUCGCCCAGAACCUUGCAUUUCAUGGAUAUUUGAUAUAAGUAUGGAAUGGUGAUAUGUGUGUUUCUCUAUUGCCAUGUCAUGCCAUAGACUCCCAGUGUCCUCUUUACCACUAGAAACACUCACUAGUGCCUUUAAAUCCAAUCAGAUUAGAGAACCUAUUCCAGAAGCCCAAGAAACAAACCCAUUCAGAUGACUUAUCCUUAAAAUUCUAUUCCUAUAGAACCUCUCUUAGUAUAAAAAUCCAUACCAUUCAGUCAGGGUUCUACCAACAAAAAAGAAAAGAAGUUGCUCUGAUGUGAUUUUAGGUUCAAUUUAUAUAGUGUGCAUAGUAUGCGUGUGUGUGUAGAGAGAGGGAGAAUUUUGGGUAGAAAUGAGAGUUGUUCCUGCUAUUUCUUCUAGUCGUUUGUGGCUCCAUAUCUAUUAUUCUAAAGGAACUACUCUGGAUUACCUAUUGAAAAGAAUCCCUGUGUUGAGAGUGGAAGCAGGUGUGAGUGGGUCCAACAGAAGGAAACAUGGCUGCCAAAGUGUUUGAGUCCAUUGGCAAGUUCGGCCUGGCCUUGGCCGUUGCAGGAGGCGUGGCGAACUCUGCCCUGUAUAAUGUGGAUGCUGGGCACAGAGCUGUCAUCUUUGACCGAUUCCGUGGAGUGCAGGACAUUGUGGUAGGGGAAGGGACUCACUUUCUCAUCCCAUGGGUACAGAAACCAAUUAUCUUUGACUGCCGCUCUCGGCCGCGUAACGUGCCAGUCAUCACUGGCAGCAAAGAUUUACAGAAUGUCAACAUCACGCUGCGCAUCCUCUUCCGGCCGGUGGCUAGCCAGCUCCCGCGCAUCUUCACCAGCAUCGGAGAGGACUACGACGAGCGCGUGCUGCCGUCCAUCACCACAGAGAUCCUCAAGUCAGUGGUGGCUCGCUUUGAUGCAGGGGAACUAAUCACCCAGAGAGAGCUGGUCUCCAGGCAGGUGGGCGAUGACCUUACGGAGCGAGCAGCAACCUUCGGGCUCAUCCUGGACGAUGUCUCCUUGACGCAUCUGACCUUUGGGAAGGAGUUCACAGAAGCGGUGGAAGCCAAACUGGUGGCUCAGCAGGAAGCAGAGAGGGCCAGAUUCGUGGUGGAAAAGGCUGAGCAGCAGAAAAAGGCGGCCAUCAUCUCUGCCGAGGGCGACUCCAAGGCAGCCGAGCUGAUCGCCAACUCGCUGGCCACCGCGGGGGACGGCCUGAUCGAGCUGCGCAAGCUGGAGGCCGCGGAGGACAUUGCGUACCAGCUGUCACGCUCUCCGAACGUCGCCUACCUGCCGGCGGGGCAGUCCGCGCUCCUGCAGCUGCCCCAGUGAGGAGGACCCACCCUGCCUGCACCUCCUCAGGCCAGCGGGGCCACAGCCCUGCUGAUGCUUAACACCACCUCCUUCUGCCCCACCCAGAAAUCACUGUGAAAUCUCAUGAUUGGCUUACCGUGAAGGAAAUAAAAGUAAAAUCACUUCAGAUCUCUAAAAAAAAAAAAAAAAAAAA